UAAGGUGGUUAGCCUUCUUCUUGA
rnacentral:tRNA from 1 species